AACCGCUCUCCUGUUGGCGGCGGUCUACAGUGGAAACCGCUCUCCUGUUGGCGGCGGUCUACAGUGGAAACCGCUCUCCUGUUGGCGGCGGUCUGACGGUCUACAGGGGAAACCGCUCUCCUGUUGGCGGCGGUCUGACGGUCUACAGGGGAAACCGCUCUCCUGUUGGCGGCGGUCUGACGGUCUACAGGGGAAACCGCUCUCCUGUUGGCGGCGGUCUGACGGUCUACAGUGGAAACCGCUCUCUCGUGUCAGACUCACUGGAUACGACAUCCGUUAGCACAAACACGUAGCUGCUAAUGAACUGCAUAUAAGAUGUAUUGGAGCAGUCCAAGAUAUUGGGAAUCAUUUCAUCUUUGUGUGUCCAGUACAGAGAGGCGUUAAACCUAGCUUAGCAUUCCCCUGCUUCAAGUCAGGAGUUCAUUAGCUUUUUAAGCUAGGCUAAUGACAUGUCUGUACUGAUAACCCUCGAUUUCUAAACAUCGGACUGUUCCUUUAGCUAGCAGGAAAGGGGACGUUGUGUCGCUGUAUAUUUGAAAUGCCUUUCCUACAACUUUACUUGACAGUUUGGUUUAUUAUCCGAACAUAAGUGAGCUUAAAACUUUCCAAAGCACAAACAGCAAGCUAACGGCAGAGAGCAACAGACCGCUAAGCACACGUUCAUCAAAAUGUUUAUUUACACGUCAGUGAGUCCACGCUGAUCACAUUUUAUGCACUUUUGGAAAAAUGCUCCAUGUGUUUCUUUUCACUGUAAAAAGCUUUCUUUGUGUCUCAUAGUUACAUCACUCGAGCUUUAGCAAUAUUAAAGAUGGCUGCACUUUGUAUGUCGGGGCACUGGCGCUGCAGGAAGGGAAAUCACUUCAAGUUUCAGUUUGUAAACUCUUUACCUGAUAUAACUCAGAUUUCACAGAUAAACUGAGUUGAUACUAAAAACGGUGCUGCUUUAUUUCAGGGUCCAUCAGUUUUCACCAGAGAAAUUCGACCAAACACCAAAACACGGACAUCCCAUCAGUGCCACAAAACCUCUUCAGGAGGUCACUGAGGCGGAACCAUAAAAUGUAGAAUUCAUUACAGUGCUGCAGGCUGGCGUAUUUCUGAAGGCAGCAGCUAGCGCAGGAUUUAAGUGAGUUAGUAUUUUAGCACCCUUUAGGUUAAUGUCUGAAAUCAGGUCUGUGGUUAGCAUGAGAGAUUUUCACUUUUUGUUCUACGACAUAAAAUCCAUCAGUUAACGUCCCACCUGUGGACGACCUUAUUUCAGGUAUCUAACAAAAAGCCCACUGACUUUGAGGAGAGGGAACCGGACAGCUGAUGACUUAUUGAUUGUCCUGUGGAGAAAUUAAUUCAGUUUUCAUACUGAUGUUUUUAUGUGGAGUACCACAAGGCUCCAUCCUGGGUCUACUGUAAAACGCUAGCUAACUGGAGAGAUACAGAUGGAGUAUUUACUGACGUGUUUUAUGUCGUAGAGCAAAACAUUAAAAAGCAGAAUCGAAGUACGGGACCAGAGGAAGAUGAUUCAACUGACUGACAGGAGUUAGGAAGGUUUCAGUGAGCUCCAUCAACCACACACACACACACACACACAGGUGAGUCUCAGUCAGGUGACAGGUGUGCAGGAGGAGGUCAGGUGAUUGAGGCUGGAGGAAAAAUCUCCUUUUAAAAUUAAUUUCAGUUUCAGUUGAUGUAACAUAUUUAUGUCAGAUUGUGUUUGUGUCAUUAUUUGAGGAUAUUUGAUGUAAAGAAACAUCCCAACAUACAAUGUGUUGUUUUUAUCUUCCGGUCUGUUCGGUUGCAGUCCCACCGACGCUCUGUGGCUUCAGCUUUGUUUUGAGGGUAAAAACUGAAUAAAAACAGCGCUGUUGUACAGAAAACAUCUGGUUUGUCUUCGUCUGACAGAUAGAUAGCUACAGUUCGAUACCUGAGAUUGUAAGAACAGAAAUAAAUAUGAAGAAGUUAUCUUUCUAAUGAAAACACAAAUAUGUUUAUGUGUUUGUGGGUGUUUUGGGGCCUGAGCUCGUCCACUGUCUGCUAACAGUCACUCAGAAAAUAACCAUUAAUCAAACUGCUGCUGCCACCUGGAGGCUGAUGUGUCGCAGUGCUCAGGUACAAAAUCAUCAUCAUCAAUUCAGUACUUGAGUAAAUGUAUUUAGUAUCAGGGUUGGGAGGUUUACUUUAAAAUGUAAUCUGAUUACAGUCACAUAAUCUUAGUAUCACCAUAUUUAAGUAACUAGAUUACUUUCUGUUCAUUUUCGAUUACCUCAAUAUAAACAUGUGAAUAAAACAAGAGAAAAGAAUGAUCAAUAGUAAGUAUUGAUCGGAUCAAUAUGACCUCUCAUCAACCAAUCAAUCAAUCAAUCAAUGUGUCCAAACAAGACAAAAUUAAAGACAAACUGAUGG
rnacentral:lncRNA from 15 species